rnacentral:rRNA from 1 species
UUCCGGUUGAUCCUGCCGGAGGCCACUGCUAUUGGGAUCCGACUAAGCCAUGCGAGUCGAGAGGGUUCGGCCCUCGGCAGACUGCUCAGUAACACGUGGAUAAUCUACCCUUAGGUGGAGGAUACUCUCGGGAAACUGAGAAUAAUACUCCAUAGGUCUAGGAUGCUGGAAUGCACCUAGGUUGAAAGUUCCGGCGCCUAAGGACGAGUCUGCGGACUAUCAGGUAGUAGUCAGGGUAAAGACCUGACUAGCCUACGACGGAUACGGGUUGUGAGAGCAAUAGCCCGGAGACGAUAUCUGAGACACGAUAUCGGGCCCUACGGGGCGCAGCAGGCGCGAAAUCUUCACAAUGUGCGAAAGCACGAUGAGGGGAUCCCAAGUGUUGGUUCGUAAGAGUCAUCUGUUUCUUUGUCUAAAAAACAGAGAGAGUAAGAGCUGGGUAAGACGGGUGCCAGCCGCCGCGGUAAUACCUGCAGCUCAAGUGGUGGCCGCUAUUAUUGGGCCUAAAACGUCCGUAGCCGGUUUAGUAAAUGCCUGGGUAAAUUGUGUAGCUCAACUAUACGAAUACCGGGUAGACUGCUAAACUUGGAACCGGGAGAGGCUAGAGGUACUCCUAGGGUAGAGGUGAAAUUCUGUAAUCCUAGGGGGACCACCAGUGGCGAAGGCGUCUAGCCAGAACGGGUUUGACGGUGAGGGACGAAGCCCUGGGGCGCAAACCGGAUUAGAUACCCGGGUAGUCCAGGGUGUAAACGCUGCUUGCUUGAUGUUAGUUGGGCUCCGAGCCCAAUUAGUGUCGGAGAGAAGUUGUUAAGCAAGCUGCCUGGGAAGUACGAUCGCAAGAUUGAAACUUAAAGGAUGGCGGGGAGCAC